rnacentral:tRNA from 2 species
GCGAGAGUGGCGGAAUUGGCAGACGCGCUAGAUUUAGGAUCUAGUACCGAAAGGUGUGCAGGUUCAAGUCCUGUCUCUCGUA